GAGUUGCUAUUUGUGAAUUUGCAUUUGCGAUUAUGGAAUUUACAUAAAAAUAAAAAAACAUUUAUAAUGAAACCAGCAUCCUUUGAGUAAUCAUCCUUAAAAUAAUAACCCAAGAUCGCAUGCUUAUAGGAAAGAGAAAUGACCAUUAAAAUAUUCUCAACAAUAAAACUCUCGAGAUCUUUCCAGCAGUGCUGGGUAUUGUUAUAUGUUCUCCGUGUUUGUCCAUGGACUUCUGUUAAACUUCCUGUCUGCCAUCUUUGUAGUCCUUUUGUAGUUUUUCAUGUUGUUUUUCCCUUGAUUGUUUCCCCCAGGUGUGUCUUGUUAUCUCAUUAACCGUGUUAGUCCCUGUGUGUAUAUAUAACUCUUGGGCUUCUCUUGUUGCUUUGUCAGUUGUUGUUUGCACGUGUUUCUGUUCCUGGUUAUUUGUUUAUUUGGUUACUUCAUUAAAUACUCCUUAGAUCAGUUAGAUCCUCGCCUUUUCUUCAGCCCGCUGCUUCAUUACAGGAAUGAUCCAGUUACAAACAGAGAUGCUCAGGGCAGAUCUUAACUUUGACAAAGGUAAUGAAUCCUGCGGCAAUGUGAAAAUGACAUUAUUCCAAAUAUACUUGAGCUCCUGAGGGGUUUCUUCAGUGCUUUGUGUUUAGUACAGCUGGUCCGGACACCUGUACGACACGAGACGCUGAACCGCUGCUUCCGUCCAGGAUUCUGGAUACGUCAAUCCUGAUGUAUGUCAAGCAGUAGCAGGAGACAAAUGAAAAUAAGAAAAAAAUAUAAUGCAUUAUGAUUUUAUGCUUAAAAGAAGUUAUAAAAGUGUUUUAAGAAUAGGAGUGUUUGCAUUGAAAGAUAUUUCAGUCCUUCAUGAACGUCCAGUGUGUUUGUGCAUGUGUGUGUUUAGAUGGGAAACAUGAGUGUGAAAAAGCUUUUCCGGUUCUCACAGGCCUUGACCCAGAUCACAGCAGGUCAGAGAGAAACACUUCUACUCUGUCUGCUCUUAAAUGUUAUUAAUUAUCUGCAUUUUUUACGUUCAAUUUGUCAACAUGUUAUACAUAAAUUGUAUAUUGUAUUCAGGAUAUGCAAAAAUACUAUAUCUAUUUAAAACCAAGUGCAAAUAGAGGCUAUUUACACUAACUCCGGCAACCAGUAUCUAAUUGAAUUGGUAAUGUCAAGUACAGGUAAUGUAAAAAAAAAAGCAGCAUCUAUUUAUGAUUUUAAUUAAUAUAAUCAUAUGCACUGGAUAUGUUGUUAUUAUUACAGCAUACUGUUUUUUAAUACAAUACACUGAGGUGCAAACUGUAUUUUAAAUACAGUAUAUGAUCACCGGGAUUGUGCCAGACAUGUUCUUGGAUCAACAUAUUUUGUUGAUCCUGGAACAAGAUUCCUGUCUGAAAAUUUAGUCUUAACCCUAUCCCUACAGUGCUCAGAGUGAUUGAACAAAUACAUCUCUCUGUUUUAUAUCCUGAUGCUUUUAUUUGAUGAAUAAAUGCAAAGAUAAGAGAGUCUGUGUGAAUCAGAGCCUAAAGAAGGCGGUCAUUACUGUUAGUGUUUACUUUUUAGAAUUGUCAAAAAUUGAAGUGAAAGA